rnacentral:rRNA from 1 species
UACGGAGGAUCCAAGCGUUAUCCGGAUCUAUUGGGUUUAAAGGGUGCGCAGGUUGUUUGAUAAGUCAGAGGUGAAAGUCUGUCGCUUAACGGUAGGAUUGCCAUUGAUACUGUUGGACUUGAAUAUGGAUGAGGUAGGCGGAAUGUGUAGUGUAGCGGUGAAAUGCAUAGAUAUUACACAGAACACCGAUUGCGAAGGCAGCUUACUAAUCCAUCAUUGACGCUGAGGCACGAAAGCGUGGGGAGCAAACA